rnacentral:rRNA from 1 species
UACGAAGGGGGCUAGCGUUGUUCGGAUUUACUGGGCGUAAAGCGCACGUAGGCGGAUUGUUAAGUCAGGGGUGAAAUCCCAGAGCUCAACUCUGGAACUGCCUUUGAUACUGGCAAUCUCGAGUCCGGAAGAGGUGAGUGGAACUCCUAGUGUAGAGGUGGAAUUCGUAGAUAUUAGGAAGAAUACCUGUGGCGAAGGCGGCCAGCUGGGCCAGGUCCGACACUGAGGCGCGAAAGCGUGGGGAGCAAACAGG